rnacentral:rRNA from 1 species
AGAUUGAACGCUGGCGGCAUGCCUUACACAUGCAAGUCGAACGGCAGCACGGGAGCAAUCCUGGUGGCGAGUGGCGAACGGGUGAGUAAUACAUCGGAACGUGCCCAAUCGUGGGGGGAUAACGCAGCGAAAGCUGUGCUAAUACCGCAUAAGAUCUACGGAUGAAAGCAGGGGAUCGCAAGACCUUGCGCGAAUGGAGCGGCCGAUGGGCAGAUUAGGUAGUUGGUGAGGUAAAGGCUCACCAAGCCUUCGAUCUGUAGCUGGUCUGAGAGGACGACCAGCCACACUGGGACUGAGACACGGCCCAGACUCCUACGGGAGGCAGCAGUGGGGAAUUUUGGACAAGUGGGACGAAAGCCUGAUCCAGCCAUGCCGCGUGACGAGGAUGAAGGCCUUACGGGUUGUAAACGUG